UGUCCAUUGCAGGGACCUUGCAAG
rnacentral:siRNA from 1 species